AGAGUUGGCAAUAUGACUACUCAGAAAGAGAACUUGUGUUUGAUUUCUGAAAUGCAAUUUGCGAGAUAGUUUGAUACUAAAAUAUUCAAAUAGUCUCCUUUCGACUCGAUGCUACUAAAUGAGAUUCAUUUAAUAGAACCCAGAGCUCUCCCAUCCAAUCUCGUCCUCGUGUAUCGUCCGCUUGGGUUUACCUUAGACCGCCUACUCAAAAUUCUAAUUAUGGUGGGUUAGAAAGGGAAAAAAUAAUAUUUGACAAAAAAAACAUCAUUGUACAAUAAAGAAGAACACUUUUUUUUUUGUCAAGUAGUCUAGUGGCUAGAGCUCACACAAUUUAAUUGUGAAGAAGUGGGGUGUCCGGGGUUCGAACCCCGGUCCUUGCAUAUAAUAUGCAAUAUCCCUACCAACUGAGCGAAGCUCAUGGGGAUAAUAAAGAACACAUUAAUAACUUGC
rnacentral:lncRNA from 1 species